AUGGAGCUUUGUUGGCAAAAAUCCAUCCAUGGCUCUUAAAAGAAGCAUGGAGGAUUGUGUGAGAGGGUUCUCACCCUUCACACUCCACCUCCUAAAGUUUGCUUAUGCUUUAGCUAUUGGCUUCUCUAAUCAAUAACCACAAAAGGGUAUGACACAUGGAGGAACAUAGUUCUCUCUAUGAGUGGCAUGAAGCAGAGAAGCAUUCUCCAUGAGCAGAGAAACUUUGGCUACAGCCAAGCAAACCGGCAAGUCACAAAAAGGCAAUGGACUACUCUUUCUCAUUAAGGGGUCCU
rfam:Glycine max cultivar Williams 82 chromosome 18, whole genome shotgun sequence.